rnacentral:rRNA from 1 species
UACGUAGGGCGCAAGCGUUGUUCGGAAUCACUGGGCAUAAAGCGCACGUAGGCGUGACGUAAGUCGGGUGUGAAAUCCCUCGGCCUAACCGAGGAACUGCGCCCGAUACUGCGUUGCUUGAGGACCAGAGGGGUGCAUGGAAUUUCCGGUGGAGCGGUGAAAUGCGUUGAUAUCGGAAGGAACUCCGGCGGCGAAAGCGAUGCACUGGCUGGUUUCUGACGCUGAGGUGCGAAAGCCAGGGGAGCAAACGGGAUUAGAUAC